UAAAAUGGCUGAGAUUAGGCAAUAAAUUGUAAAUUUAUGAACGAAUUAAUUUUCUUUUAUCA
rnacentral:tRNA from 1 species